rnacentral:sRNA from 1 species
AUUUAAAAUUUAUAGUCUAUGGAAAUCCCUGAGGCAUUUCGUUUCUAAAAAGUUUACAUAAUCAAGAAUAUGAUGGAUUGAACAAAUAUUGAGCACUGAUUCUCCGGAUAUAAUACCGGACGUGAAUGGACCGCUGAUACACCGUGUAUUUUGUAAGGUACCGUAUUUUGUACAGACGUGACCAAGAAAACAAAUCAAUAUCAAAUCAAUAUAUCGUAUAAUACAAUUAGCAUUUAUAACAGUCAAAUUACCUUCUCUUCGUGUAGUUCGGCAAGAGUUGGUCUUGAUUUUAAAGCAGCGGUUGCUGAGAGUAAAUUUCUAUAGUGAUCCACAUGGGGAAUAGCUUCCACAGUAUUCUUUCCAAAUGUUUUCAUGUGUGUCUCGCACGAAUUAUUAUAUCCAUACGUGUCAUUUGGACUGACAGUUCCUGCGAAAAAUUGGACUGAGUCGUACGGAGAUUUUGGAGAUUGAGGAGAUUCUGGAAUUUGAAAAUCCAAUUGUUUAGCUGGUUUUCCUGAUGCCGGUGUCGGCUUCGGCUCUUCUGGAAGCGGCUGUUCGGGAUCUUCCGUCUUUUUCUCAUCAUUCACUCUAGCCACAUGGAAUCGUGAAGUCGACUGUGUGGUAGACAUACCUCUUGCAGUGUUGUCUAAAUCCAACUCCUGUUUUGAUCUGUUACCCUUUUUCUUAGAAGAUACUUCAUUUAUAUUGUUUCCACUCGUCAGGCACGUCUCAUGUACGUCCGCCAUUUUUUUCAACAACGUGACGUCAUGAGUCAUACAUGAAUAUGCAAAGUUUCCGUAUAUUAGCCACGCCUCAAUUUAUUGAAUAUAACCAAGAAAAACAUGAGAAAUCUAUUUGACACGUGGGUAAAAUGUCUCUUGAAAUAGCACAAUUACAAAUUCUUUUGCAAGUGUUGUCUGAAACAUACAAAUAUCAUUAAACAAACAUUAAAUGCAAAAUAAGAUCGAUUAUAAUGAUGAACGCUGCGGCCCCGAACAGAACUAUCCUACAUAUAAACAAGUCCACGUGCGUUUGUGAUAUAUGAGAGAGAGAGAGAGAGAGAGAGAGAGAGAGAGAGACAGAGAGAGACAGUGAGACAGAGAGAGAGAGAGAGAGAGAGAGAGAGAGAGAGAAUAAAUGUCUAUUAUUUCAUGUAAGGAUAAGAAAUAGAGGCGGAUGUAUGUGAAUUUAUCAAUUUUUAUAUGUGGUGCACAAACUAUAAAAAUGAAAAUUUUAGCAAAUCUUCAAUUUUUGCGUUUGUGUAAAAAAAAAUGUGAAAAAAAUCUUUAUAUUAAAAAAAAAUCCUAUAUGUAUUAAGAUUGACAAUUAACGGGUCUAAGGAGACGUUUAUUGAACAGGAUUGUAAGUACGUAUAUAUCAGGGAUUCUAUUGCCCACUUGUAGAUUUAUAGUUUAUUAAUCUGGGUUUUUUUUUUCAAGUUUGCUUAACAGCUUAAUAUAUAUAUGUCAGAUCAUAAAGGUUAUUUUGAAAUGUUUAAUCAACUAAAUACAAUAU